rnacentral:rRNA from 1 species
UACGAAGGGGGCUAGCGUUGCUCGGAAUCACUGGGCGUAAAGCGCACGUAGGCGGAUUGCUAAGUCAGGGGUGAAAUCCUGGAGCUCAACUCCAGAACUGCCUUUGAUACUGGCGACCUUGAGUCCGGGAGAGGUGAGUGGAAUUCCGAGUGUAGAGGUGAAAUUCGUAGAUAUUCGGAAGAACACCAGUGGCGAAGGCGACUCACUGGACACGUAUUGACGCUGAGGUGCGAAAGCGUGGGGAGCAAACAGG